CUGCUGGGCACUAUGGGGGUGGAACCCAAAACAACAGGAUAUAUUUUUUUAUAUAUAUCCUUGUCUGUUUUGGGUUCCACCCCCAUAGUGCC